rnacentral:lncRNA from 1 species
CACCAGCGACCAAACAACCACCACAACCGCUACCAGAGUCCGCCGAAAAAAGCUAUAAAUGGCGACCCCCACAUACACAAACAGUACUCAGAAACAGAGCAAAUACGAGGUUGUGUUGGGUUUCCGAUUUACACCUCUUCUAAGCUGAUUUUCCAUUUUAGCUUUUCGAUAUGUAAAAGAAAUUUUACCUUACAUCUUAGUAAUAGUUUCAGAGAUUAGGAAUUUUUGGUUUUUUCAUUCAAUUUUCAAUUGUCUUCAACUCCAAAUACUAAAAAAAUAAAAAUCAAUGAUUUCCUUUCCAAUGUCGAAUUUCACUGUGAUUAUGGGUUUUGUUUGAGUACCAGAUUCGAUUUUGGAAUUCAAAGCUCUUCCAGUCGCCGUUCAUGAGUUCCGAUGCUGAUUCGUUGUUGGUUUACUGUCAACGGUUCCGAUUCUUAAGUCCAAUUUCGGGUCUAAAUUUCGCUGUUGAGAUGGAGUUGGUUUAUGUCGAUGUUCCGGUUGCGAUUUGUGUUUCUGCUGAUUUUUUCCGGUUGAUACUCGAUUUUUAUUGCUGAAUGUUAUCGCUCUUCAUUUGGACAAAACUGUAAGCCCGAAGUUCCUCUAAUCUGGAAGAAACUAUCGCCAUUGAGGUCCAUUUCUCCUUGUUUUACUAUGUCGGCUUAAUUUCAUGAUUUUGGUAAUCUUGUGAAUAUAUUUUGCUCUGUUUUGGUUGAAUGUUGAUUUAAUUCUCUGCUGCUCCAUUC